CUUAUAUUCUUUUUAAGGCCUCACAACUUGAGUGUCAUUUAAUCUAACCAUUUGUGUUCCUAGAACCUGAUCUUUGUUCCUGAUCUAAUUUUCCAUUUUUCGUUCUUCCCAAACUAACUNUCUUCUGUAUGUCCACAACUACUCGUUAAGUCUCUCCACCACCAAGAUUCCAAAUCCAACUUUUUCUAUUCCCAUCCUCUACUCUCCAUUUUCCUAAUAGGGCCAUGUUAUAUAGCCUUAUAUUUAAUCCCUAAACCACCCUCUUCCUUACUUUGACAUAAUUUUUUCUCCACCUUUU
rnacentral:lncRNA from 1 species